UUGCCGGCGACCGGCGCACGGGUGAGUAACGCGUAUCCACCCUUUCGCUUACUCGGGGAUAGCCUUUCGAAAGAAAGAUUACUACCCGAUGGUAUCUUAAGCACGCAUGAGAUUAAGAUUAAAGAUUUAUCGGUAAGCGAUGGGGAUGCGUUCCAUUAGGCAGUUGGCGGGGUAACGGCCCACCAAACCUACGAUGGAUAGGGGUUCUGAGAGGAAGGUCCCCCACAUUGGAACUGAGACACGGUCCAAACUCCUACGGGAGGCAGCAGUGAGGAAUAUUGGUCAAUGGGCGAGAGCCUGAACCAGCCAAGUAGCGUGAAGGAUGACGGCCCUACGGGUUGUAAACUUCUUUUGUGCGGGAAUAAAGGAGCCUACGUGUAGGCUUUUGCAUGUACCGUAACGAAUAAGCAUCGGCUAACUCCGUGCCAGCAGCCGCGGUAAUACGGAGGAUGCGAGCGUUAUCCGGAUUUAUUGGGUUUAAAGGGAGCGUAGACGGGUUUUUAAGUCAGCUGUGAAAGUUUGGGGCUCAACCUUAAAAUUGCAGUUGAAACUGGAGACCUUGAGUACGGUUGAGGCAGGCGGAAUUCGUGGUGUAGCGGUGAAAUGCUUAGAUAUCACGAAGAACUCCGAUUG
rnacentral:rRNA from 1 species